UACGUAGGGGCCUAGCGUUGUCCGGAUUUAUUGGGCGUAAAGAGCGUGUAGGCGGCCAGGUAGGUCUGCUGUGAAAACUCGAGGCUCAACCUCGAGACGUCGGCGGAAACCAUCUGGCUAGAGUCCGGAAGAGGAGAGUGGAAUUCCUGGUGUAGCGGUGAAAUGCGCAGAUAUCAGGAAGAACACCCGUGGCGAAGGCGGCUCUCUGGGCCGAUACUGACGCUGAGGAGCGAAAGCGUGGGGAGCGAACAGG
rnacentral:rRNA from 1 species